CCAGACUCCUACGGGAGGCAGCAGUGAGGAAUAUUGGUCAAUGGACGGAAGUCUGAACCAGCCAAGUAGCGUGCAGGAUGACGGCCCUAUGGGUUGUAAACUGCUUUUGUAUGGGGAUAAAGUUAGGGACGUGUCCCUAUUUGCAGGUACCAUACGAAUAAGGACCGGCUAAUUCCGUGCCAGCAGCCGCGGUAAUACGGAAGGUCCAGGCGUUAUCCGGAUUUAUUGGGUUUAAAGGGAGCGUAGGCUGGAGAUUAAGUGUGUUGUGAAAUGUAGACGCUCAACGUCUGACUUGCAGCGCAUACUGGUUUCCUUGAGUACGCACAACGUUGGCGGAAUUCGUCGUGUAGCGGUGAAAUGCUUAGAUAUGACGAAGAACUCCGAUUGCGAAGGCAGCUGACGGGAGCGCAACUGACGCUUAAGCUCGAAGGUGCGGGUAUCAAACAGGAUUAGAUACCCUGGUAGUCCGCACAGUAAACGAUGGAUGCCCGCUGUUGGUACCUGGUAUCAGCGGCUAAGCGAAAGCAUUAAGCAUCCCACCUGGGGAGUACGCCGGCAACGGUGAAACUCAAGGAAUUGACGGGGGCCCGCACAAG
rnacentral:rRNA from 1 species